UUUUUCGGAAGGAAGCGGGAGUGACUUAGCGGCGGAUGGGUGAGUAACGCGUGGGUAACCUGCCCCAUACCGGGGGAUAACGGUUAGAAAUGACCGCUAAUACCGCUUAAGCGCGCGAGGCCGCAUGGCCCCGGGCGAAAAACUCCGGUGGUAUGGGAUGGGCCCGCGUCUGAUUAGGUAGUUGGCGGGGUAAGGGCCCACCAAGCCGACGAUCAGUAGCCGACCUGAGAGGGUGGCCGGCCACAUUGGGACUGAGACACGGCCCAAACUCCUACGGAAGGCAGCAG
rnacentral:rRNA from 1 species